rnacentral:rRNA from 1 species
UACGAAGGGGGCUAGCGUUGCUCGGAAUUACUGGGCGUAAAGCGCACGUAGGCGGCUCUUUAAGUCGGGGGUGAAAUCCUGGAGCUCAACUCCAGAACUGCCUUCGAUACUGUAGAGCUUGAGUUCGGGAGAGGUGAGUGGAACUGCGAGUGUAGAGGUGAAAUUCGUAGAUAUUCGCAAGAACACCAGUGGCGAAGGCGGCUCACUGGCCCGAUACUGACGCUGAGACGCGAAAGCGUGGGGAGCGAACAGG